GACGAACGCUGGCGGCGUGCUUAACACAUGCAAGUCGAACGGAAAGGCCCUGCUUUUGUGGGGUGCUCGAGUGGCGAACGGGUGAGUAACACGUGAGUAACCUGCCCUUGACUUUGGGAUAACUUCAGGAAACUGGGGCUAAUACCGGAUAGGAGCUCCUGCUGCAUGGUGGGGGUUGGAAAGUUUCGGCGGUUGGGGAUGGACUCGCGGCUUAUCAGCUUGUUGGUGGGGUAGUGGCUUACCAAGGCUUUGACGGGUAGCCGGCCUGAGAGGGUGACCGGCCACAUUGGGACUGAGAUACGGCCCAGACGCCUACGGGAGGCAGCAGUGGGGAAUAUUGCACAGUGGGCGGAAGCCUGAUGCAGCAACGCCGCGGGCGGGAUGACGGCCUUCGGGUUGUAAACCGCUUUCGCCUGUGACGAAGCGUGAGUGACGGUAAUGGGUAAAGAAGCACCGGCUAACUACGUG
rnacentral:rRNA from 1 species